CGCGAUUCGCCUGCCUGUGAGGAAGGCUGUCUGCUCCGUGUCUAUGACGCGGUUAAACAGCGGCAAUAGGCGUGUGUCCCCCUUAGGUCGCCCAACUGGACGUGCGUGUACGGCGCCCGGUCCGCCGGCACCCGAUAUGUAACGAUGUUCUUUAGCUCUUCUCAGUGUGGUGAUGACAUGGACAGUCUGAAACCAGCUUGUGGCAGUGCAACUAUUGUGUGCCCACACCCUUGACGGUGUUCACCC
rnacentral:lncRNA from 1 species